rnacentral:miRNA from 1 species
UUCCUUGUAUUCCUCCUUUGUUGGACUAAUAUUUUCCGAGACUUUGUACUCGAUGUUCAAAUGUAUACUAGUAACAUCGAGUACAAAGUCUCGGAAAAUAUUAGUCCAACAAAGGAGGAAUACAAGGAAA